rnacentral:rRNA from 1 species
ACGCACGCUGGCGGCGUGCUUAACCCAUGCCGGUCGAACGGAAAGGCCCUGCUUUUGUGGGGUGCUCGAGUGGCGAACGGGUGAGUAACACGUGAGUAACCUGCCCUUGACUUUGGGAUAACUUCAGGAAACUGGGGCUAAUACCGGAUAGGAGCUCCUGCUGCAUGGUGGGGGUUGGAAAGUUUCGGCGGUUGGGGAUGGACUCGCGGCUUAUCAGCUUGUUGGUGGGGUAGUGGCUUACCAAGGCUUUGACGGGUAGCCGGCCUGAGAGGGUGACCGGCCACAUUGGGACUGAGAUACGGCCCAGACUCCUACGGGAGGCAGCAGUGGGGAAUAUUGCACAAUGGGCGGAAGCCUGAUGCAGCAACGCCGCGUGCGGGAUGACGGCCUUCGGGUUGUAAACCGCUUUCGCCUGUGACGAAGCGUGAGUGACGGUAAUGGGUAAAGAAGCACCGGCUAACUACGUG